AACAAGGAAUGAAAUGAAAGUCCGAGAAAAGAACAAAUACUAGAAAAUAAUUAAAUGUACUUGAAUGAUACUUGUUACGAAGCGAGUUGCUUUUGAGAUGUUAAGAAAUCACUUAUCCUUUUCUUUUCCUUCUAUUCUUUUC
rnacentral:ribozyme from 12 species